rnacentral:rRNA from 1 species
AACGAACGCUGGCGGCAUGCCUAACACAUGCAAGUCGAACGGGAUCCUAGCUUGCUAGGUGAGAGUGGCGGACGGGUGAGUAACACGUGGGAAUCUGCCUUUUGGUUCGGGAUAACCGCGGGAAACUGCGGCUAAUACCGAAUGCCCUCGAGAGAGGAAAGAUUUAUCGCCAGAAGAGGAGCCCGCGUCCGAUUAGGUAGUUGGUGGGGUAAAGGCCUACCAAGCCGACGAUCGGUAGCUGGUCUGAGAGGAUGAUCAGCCACACUGGGACUGAGAUACGGCCCAGACUCCUACGGGAGGCAGCAGUGGGGAAUUUUACGCAAUGGGGGAAACCCUGACGUAGCGACACCGCGUGAGCGAAGAAGCCCUUUGGGGUGUAAAGCUCUGUCAACAGGAACGAAAAAAAAUAGACGGUACCUGUGGAGGAAGCAUCGGCUAACUACGUGCCAGCA